GUACAGCGGGUGUGUGGAGCCUCCUGAGCCAGCUCAGCAUGGUGGAAUUCGCCCCCCUGUUGGUACCAUGGGAGCGCAGGCUACAGACCUUCGCGGUCCUUCAGUGGGUCUUCUCCUUCCUGGCCUUGGCCCAGCUCUGUAUCUUCAUCUUCAUCGGCCUCCUAUUCACGAGGUUCUGGCUCUUCUCAGUCCUAUAUGCCACCUGGUGGUACCUGGACUGGGACAGGCCGAGGCAGGGAGGCCGGCCCAUCCAAUUCUUCAGACGCAUGGCCAUAUGGAAGUACAUGAAGGAUUUCUUCCCUGUCUCUAACUGAGGGGGCUGCAGAGAGACCGGUGUACUUCUCCUUCUUCUUCCUUGGCCUCCUGGGAGCCUGUAACAAGCCUGUCAGCGAAGCAUCAUUACCACUGUCCUGUUAACAACUGAGGCCAGGGUCUGGCCCGAUCCUGAGAUGA
rnacentral:lncRNA from 1 species